UACGUAGGGUGCGAGCGUUGUCCGGAAUUAUUGGGCGUAAAGGGCUCGUAGGCGGUUUGUCGCGUCGGGAGUGAAAACAUCGGGCUUAACUCGAUGCUUGCUUUCGAUACGGGCAGACUUGAGGUAUGCAGGGGAGAAUGGAAUUCCCGGUGUAGUGGUGAAAUGCGUAGAUAUCGGGAGGAACACCAGUGGCGAAGGCGGCUUCCUGGCCUGUUCUUGACGCUGAGGCGCGAAAGCUAGGGGAGCAAACGGG
rnacentral:rRNA from 1 species